rnacentral:rRNA from 1 species
GACGAACGCUGGCGGCGUGCUUAACACAUGCAAGUCGAGCGGUAAGGCCCUUUCGGGGGUACACGAGCGGCGAACGGGUGAGUAACACGUGGGUGACCUGCCCUCAGCUCUGGGAUAAGCCUGGGAAACCGGGUCUAAUACCGGAUAUGACUCCAUGACGCAUGUUGUGGGGUGGAAAGCCUUGUGCGGCUGAGGAUGGGCCCGCGGCCUAUCAGCUUGUUGGUGGGGUGAUGGCCUACCAAGGCGACGACGGUAGCCGGCCUGAGAGGGCGACCGGCCACACUGGGACUGAGACACGGCCCAGACUCCUACGGGAGCAGCAGUGGGGAAUCUUGCGCAAUGGGCGAAAGCCUGACGCAGCGACGCCGCGUGAGGGAUGACGGCCU